AACGAACGCUGGCGGCAGGCUUAACACAUGCAAGUCGAGCGCCCCGCAAGGGGAGCGGCAGACGGGUGAGUAACGCGUGGGAAUCUACCCAUCUCUACGGAAUAACGCAUGGAAACGUGUGCUAAUACCGUAUACGUCCUUCGGGAGAAAGAUUUAUCGGAGAUGGAUGAGCCCGCGUUGGAUUAGCUAGUUGGUGGGGUAAAGGCCUACCAAGGCGACGAUCCAUAGCUGGUCUGAGAGGAUGAUCAGCCACACUGGGACUGAGACACGGCCCAGACUCCUACGGGAGGCAGCAGUGGGGAAUAUUGGACAACGGGCGCAAGCCUGAUCCAGCCAUGCCGCGUGAGUGAUGAAGGCCCUAGGGCUGUAAAGCUCUUUCACCGGUGAAGAUAAUGACGGUAACCGGAGAAGAAGCCCCGGCUAACUUCGUGCCAGCCGCCGCGGUAAUAC
rnacentral:rRNA from 1 species